rnacentral:rRNA from 1 species
UACGUAGGGUGCAAGCGUUGUCCGGAAUUAUUGGGCGUAAAGAGCUCGUAGGCGGUUUGUCGCGUCUGCUGUGAAAACCCGAGGCUCAACCUCGGGCCUGCAGUGGGUACGGGCAGACUAGAGUGCGGUAGGGGAGAUUGGAAUUCCCGGUGUAGCGGAUGAAAUGCGCAGAUGAGUCGGGAGGAACACCGGUGGCGAAGGCGGUUCUCUGGGCCUUACCUGACGCUGGAGGAGCGAAAGCGUGGGGAGCGAACAGG